rnacentral:misc_RNA from 1 species
UUUGCGGCUGGAUCCCCUCCUUUCUAAGGAAGAACCCUAAUGGAAACGCUCGUUCAUCGAGCCUGUGCCUUUCGGUUCUCUUGGAACAAGACGGAAGAGAGUCACUCUUACCGUCGCGCAUACCUAAAGCGGGUCUGCCGCCUUCGUUUCUCUUUCUUCAGCGAAUGACUUUGGAUCAGCGCUCGCGCGCCGUACCGCAGCCCUUUGGGCUGCUGGCGCUCCGCGAGGGCGCGGCAUAAGCCGCGACGGCCACCUGCUAUUCAGAUCUGGCGGCCUUGCGAGGCUUCGCCUUGAUGCCAACGGCUCGUUACUGGCAGAGCGCGGUCUUUAGGGCUUGUAGCUCAGUUGGUUAGAGCGCGCGCUUGAUAAGCGUGAGGUCGGAGGUUCAAGUCCUCCCAGGCCCACCAUCUCCGCGCAAUCCGCGAGGAUUGUCGCGAACAGUGCAACCCGAAGGGUUGUCACUUGCCGGUCGGUGCGAUCGGCACUAUCAGGGGGCCGUAGCUCAGCUGGGAGAGCGCCUGCUUUGCAAGCAGGAUGUCGUCGGUUCGAUCCCGUCCGGCUCCACCAACACGCGAUCCGCAAGGAUCGUCGUGAAUGCGCGAUCCGCAGGAUCGUCGCUUGCGGCCGCCACGUUGCGGUUUGGCGAGCGCGCGAUCCGCAGGAUCGUCGUAACCGCGAUGAUCUUGCAGAUCACGCGUUGGUGUCGAGUAGAGACGGUGAGAAAAAGUCAUUCGAAAAAGAGUUUGCGCCGGGCCGAGUGCUCUGCGCCUGUUCUGUUUGACAUCGUAAAGAGAAGAUUUGUUCGAACUUCAUGAUCCGAAAGGGCCAUGAUUUGUCGCAAGGGACGCUCAAUCCCUUGCCUAUGAUGGGUCUGCCUAACCGCGCCCUCGAACGGAUCUCGAGAAGCUGGUCUUUUUGUGCCAAUUCCAUUGAGGCGGGUCCCGCACAGGAUCUGGUUCGAGCGACAAUCCUUCGGAUUGCGUGAUGGGUAUUGGCAAUGAGAACGAUCAAGUGUCUUAAGGGCAAUUGGUGGAUGCCUUGGCAUGCACAGGCGAUGAAGGACGUGAUACGCUGCGAAAAGCUACGGGGAGGUGCGAAUACCCUUUGAUCCGU